rnacentral:rRNA from 1 species
AUUGAACGCUGGCGGUAUGCCUUACACAUGCAAGUCGAACGGUAGAGGGGCAACCCUUGAGAGUGGCGAACGGGUGAGUAAUACAUCGGAACGUGCCCAGUCGUGGGGGAUAACGUAGCGAAAGCUACGCUAAUACCGCAUACGACCUGAGGGUGAAAGCGGGGGAUCGCAAGACCUCGCGCGAUUGGAGCGGCCGAGGGCAGAUUAGGUAGUUGGUGGGGUAAAGGCCUACCAAGCCUGCGAUCUGUAGCUGGUCUGAGAGGACGACCAGCCACACUGGGACUGAGACACGGCCCAGACUCCUACGGGAGGCAGCAGUGGGGAAUUUUGGACAACGGGCGAAAGCCUGAUCCAGCCAUACCGCGUGCGGGAAGAAGGCCUUCGGGUUGUAAACCGCUUUUGUCAGGGAAGAAAUCUUCUGGGUUAAUACCUCGGGAGGAUGACGGUACCUGAAGAAUAAGCCCCGGCUAACUUCGUGCCAGCCGCCGCAGUAACAC